GAGUUUGAUCGUGGCUCAGGAUGAACGCUGGCGGCGUGCCUAAUACAUGCAAGUCGAGCGAACAGACGGGGAGCUUGCUCCCCUGACGUUAGCGGCGGACGGGUGAGUAACACGUGGGUAACCUACCUAUAAGACUGGAAUAACUCCGGGAAACCGGGGCUAAUGCCGGAUAACAUGUUGGACCGCAUGGGUCCUACAGUGAAAGACGGUCUUGCUGUCACUUAUAGGUGGACCCGCGCCGUAUUAGCUAGUUGGUAAGGUAACGGCUUACCAAGGCAACGAUACGUAGCCGACCUGAGAGGGUGAUCGGCCACACUGGAACUGAGACACGGUCCAGACUCCUACGGGAGGCAGCAGUAGGGAAUCUUCCGCAAUGGGCGAAAGCCUGACGGAGCAACGCCGCGUGAGUGAUGAAGGCCUUCGGUCGUAAACGUACUGUUA
rnacentral:rRNA from 1 species